AGACAUGGAGGACGCGGGUCAAAGUGUUGUAUCUGUUCUUAUCAGCUUAAUAUCUGAUACGGGUUGUAUUUGGACCCAAGAUAUUAUAUUUAUUUUUGCAAGUAGGCGGAUUGCUUGAAGCGUGCUUCACCUCCUCCGCCGGUCGGUGCGGUAUUGCACUGCCUUCGGGAUUGGCCCACGUUUU